GAUGAACGCUGGCGGCGUGCCUAAUACAUGCAAGUCGAGCGAACAGGCGAGGAGCUUGCUUCUCUGACGUUAGCGGCGGACGGGUGAGUAACACGUGGAUAACCUACCUAUAAGACUGGGAUAACUUCGGGAAACCGGAGCUAAUACCGGAUAAUAUAUUGAACCGCAUGGUUCAAUAGUGAAAGACGGUUUUGCUGUCACUUAUAGAUGGAUCCGCGCCGCAUUAGCUAGUUGGUAAGGUAACGGCUUACCAAGGCAACGAUGCGUAGCCGACCUGAGAGGGUGAUCGGCCACACUGGAACUGAGACACGGUCCAGACUCCUACGGGAGGCAGCAGUAGGGAAUCUUCCGCAAAGGGCGAAAGCCUGACGGAGCAACGCCGCGUGAGUGAUGAAGGUCUUCGGAUCGUAAAACUCUGUUAUUAGGGAAGAACAAAUGUGUAAGUAACUAUGCACGUCUUGACGGUACCUAAUCAGAAAGCCACGGCUAACUACGUG
rnacentral:rRNA from 1 species